UACGUAGGGGGCUAGCGUUGUUCGGAAUUACUGGGCGUAAAGGGCGCGUAGGCGGUCUUGCAAGUCCCGUGUGAAAUCCCUCGGCUCAACUGAGGAACUGCACGGGAAACUGCUUGGCUUGAGUUCGGGAGAGGGAAGCGGAAUUCCCGGUGUAGUGGUGGAAUGCGUAGAUAUCGGGAGGAACACCAGUGGCGAAGGCGGUUACCUGGAGCUUUGCUGACGCUGAUGCGCGAAAGCGUGGGGAGCGAGUCCGG
rnacentral:rRNA from 1 species